AAACAUAAGUGUUUAAUUGCAGCAAGUAAAGACAAAAGCCCUUUAAUAAUAUUUCUCUACCAUCACCACUGUAUGUGGCUGAUUUCCAGGAGGAGCUUACAGCAAGAACUUUUUGAAUGACAGGAUGCAGUUUGCCAAAUUAAGGUUUCACUAGACUACCAAAAUGGACCAUCACACACAAAAAAGUUAAGAACUCCUGAACUUGAUGGAUUAGCUCUAAAAUUCUAUGGUCUUGACAUUAUUCCCUUCAACACUUGUCUCCUCCUUCCUACUGGCUGCUUUUCUCAGUUUCAUUUACAUCAAACUUUGGAAGUGUCUUGGCAGGCACAAAGGUUUUAGAGUUCAUAUAUAUGGGUUUUAUUACAGAUAAUACUUGAGUCACUUACAUAAGAGUGUUUGCUCCAGCUGGAACUGCCACAGGAACUACCUUUUCCCUUUUCCUUGCUGCUACAGACCAUGGAUACUUUGAGAAGCAAAAUUUUAUGUUGGAAAAAAACAUCAAACUUUGAGUCUGAAGACCUGCAUUCAAAUUCUGCC